CCUACGGGUGGCUGCAGUGAGGAAUAUUGGUCAAUGGGCGGAAGCCUGAACCAGCCAUGCCGCGUGCAGGAAGACGGCUCUACGAGUUGUAAACUGCUUUUGUACCGGGGUAAAAUGCUGUACGUGUAGGGUUCUGAAAGUACGGGACGAAUAAGGAUCGGCUAACUCCGUGCCAGCAGCCGCGGUAAUACGGAGGAUCCGAGCGUUAUCCGGAUUCAUUGGGUUUAAGGGUGCGGCGGGUGUUUUAUUAGUUAGCGGUGAAAAUCCGAUGCUUAAAACCGGGGCUGCCGCUGAUACUGGAGGACUUGAGUGCGGAUGCGGCAGGCGGAAUGCGUGGUGUAGCGGUGAAAUGCAUAGAUAUUACGCAGAACACCGAUUGCGAAGGCAGCUUGCUGGGCCGUAACUGACGCUGAGGCACGAAAGCGUGGGGAUCGAACAGGAUUAGAUACCCGGGUAGUC
rnacentral:rRNA from 1 species